rnacentral:rRNA from 1 species
UACGAAGGGGGCUAGCGUUGCUCGGAAUUACUGGGCGUAAAGGGCGCGUAGGUGGCCUUUUGAGUCAGACGUGAAAUCCCCCGGCUUAACCUGGGAACUGCGUCUGAUACUGGAAGGCUUGAGUUCGGGAGAGGGAUGUGGAAUUCCAGGUGUAGCGGUGAAAUGCGCAGAUAUCAGGAGGAACACCAAUGGCGAAGGCAGCUCGCUGGGACGUGACUGACGCUGGAGACGCGGAAAGCGUGGGGAGCAAACAGG